GACAGAGGAUGCAAGCGUUAUCCGGAAUGAUUGGGCGUAAAGCGUCUGUAGGUGGCUUUUUAAGUCCGCCGUCAAAUCCCAGGGCUCAACCCUGGACAGGCGGUGGAAACUACCAAGCUGGAGUACGGUAGGGGCAGAGGGAAUUUCCGGUGGAGCGGUGAAAUGCGUAGAGAUCGGGAGGAACAUCAGUUGCGAAGGCGGCUCUCUGGACCAGCACUGACACUGAGGCACGAAAGCGUGGGGAGCAAACAGG
rnacentral:rRNA from 1 species